rnacentral:lncRNA from 1 species
CGGCCACGCCCCCGAGCCACUCCCCGCUUGCUGGGCUGCGGCCUCUUGGUCCUCUCGGCCACACCCCCUUCCCAACUACUUAAAAGCCACUCCAAAGCUCCGGUUUCCGUGCUGGGUGCUGGGGUGUUUGUGUUUCCGAUGCUUUACUCGGAGAAGGCUCAAUGGUUCCGCCCUAUGAAACCUGCGAAGAUGGAGAAGCCAAAUUGGGUUCGAGGCAGUUACGGGUGCAGUGGCUCAUAGCCAGAGAUGAACUGUGUGCCGUGAGACAACAGUGUUGAACGAGGCUUGCACUCAUCCUUGGGUGUACACACGGUUGGGUGCUUUUUGUCUGCCUGUGUGCAUAAACACCGUAAGAGAGCACCGGAUCAUGAGCUGCUAUGUAGUUGCUGGGAAUUGAACUCACAACCUCUGGAAGAACAGUCAAGUGUUCUUAACCACUGACCUAUCUUUCCAGCCCGGAAAUGUUAUAUUUAAAAACAGAAAAAAAAUAUUUUAGACAGGAUCUCUUGUAUUCUAGAUUGUCCUCCAACUCAAAAGGGUAGCCCAAGAUGUUCUUGAAUGCCUGGCAUUCCAGUGUCUGUCUGUCUGUCUGUCUGUCUGUCUGUCUGUCUGUCUCUCUCUCUCUCUCUCUCUCUCUCUGUGUGUGUGUGUGUGUUAUGUAUGUAUUCCUUUGAGUGUGUGCACUUGUAUGUGUGCUUGUGGAAGCCAGAAGGUCAAUAUCAGGUGUCUUUCUCAACCACCUAACCACCUUAUUAUUUUAUUAUUUGAGACAGGGUCUUGUAUUGGACCUGGAGCAAAACAGUUUGGCUAGGCUGUCUAGUUGCUCCAGGGAUCAGCCUGUCUCUGCUCCCCUUCUCGUCCCUUCUCCUUCCAACACAUCUAACUUUUCUUUCUUUCUUUUUUUUUUUUCUCGGAGCUGGGGACUGAACCCAGGGCCUUGCCCAAGAUGUUCUUGAAUGCCUGGCAUUCCAGUGUCUGUCUGUCUGUCUGUCUGUCUGACUGUCUGUCUGUGUGUGUGUGUGUGUGUGUGUGUGCGCGCGCGCGCUAGGCAAGCGCUCUACCACUGAGCUAAAUCUAACUUUUACAUGAACUCUGAGGUGGGAACUCAGUUCCUCAUACUUAGCUGCUGAGCCAUCUCCCCAGCCAUGGAAGACCCUGAAUCUUCUAUUUCCAUCCCCCUAAUUUUGGGAUUCUAGAUGUAGUACCAACACACACAGUUUAUGUGGGACUGGGAAUUAUGAAAACCAGGGCUUUGUACAUGCUAGGGAAACACUCUACCUACCGGCCUGUCUCCUAAUCCCAUCUUUGUUAUUACUUUAUGUUUUUGUUUGAUUUUUGAGACAGUCUUACUAAGUAGUCCUGGCUGACCUCAACCUCACAGAGAUCUGUUGAGGUUUAGCCUGUUGCUGUGUGUUGUAAUGCUGAAUUCUGUACCCGAAGGCCUCUGGUUGCCUACCA